rnacentral:rRNA from 1 species
CCUACUGGAGACUGCAGUGAGGAAUAUUGGUCACUGGGCGCGAGCCUGAACCAGCCAAGUCGCGUGAGGGAAGACGGUCCUAUGGAUUGUAAACCUCUUUUGUCGGGGAGCAAAAGACGCCACGCGUGGCGUUCCGAGAGUACCCGAAGAAAAAGCAUCGGCUAACUCCGUGACAGCAGCCGAGGUAAUACGGAGGAUGCGAUCUUUAUCCGGAUUUAUUGAGUUUAAAGGGUCCGCAGGCGGAAGAUGAAGUCAUCGGUAAAAUUGAGAGGCUAAACCUCUUCGAGCCGUUGAAAAUGGUUUUCUUGAGUGAGUGAGAAGUAUGCGGAAUGGGUGGUGUAGCGGUGAAAUGGAUAGAUAUC